UACGUAGGGUGCAGGCGUUAAUCGGAAUUACUGGGCGUAAAGCGUGCGCAGGCGGUUUGCUAAGACAGAUGUGAAAUCCCCGGGCUUAACCUGGGAACUGCAUUUGUGACUGCACGGCUAGAGUGUGUCAGAGGGGGGUAGAAUUCCACGUGUAGCAGUGAAAUGCGUAGAUAUGUGGAGGAAUACCGAUGGCGAAGGCAGCCCCCUGGGAUAACACUGACGCUCAUGCACGAAAGCGUGGGGAGCAAACAGG
rnacentral:rRNA from 1 species